AUUUAUAUACACCGAAUGCAUGUAGGUACGUACGUACUUAGACACUACUCUUGCUCAAAUGCAGAUAUAUAUUCAAUUCCGAGCUGGAGAUUUCGCAUCUUAGCUUCAACAAACUUCAUCCUAUUGAUUUGUUUUUUCUUUUAAUGUUCCUUCGUUUAUAUAUGAUCUUUUUUACGCCAUUAUGAUUUUAUGUUCUAUACAAUGUGAUAUUUAUGUUUUGCAAAGUGAAAAAAAGCAAUAGUUUUGUUUUAGCAAAUUUAAAAUUCAAGGAGUUUAAGGGUUUUUAUUCUUUUUCUCUUGCGUAAUUUGGAACUAAAGAUUUUAAUUUUAUUUUUUUUCACUCUUAUCCAAAUUUUUUAGUUUAAUCGUCCUUUAUUUAUUUUACUCUGAAUUUGAGUACGCAAUGUACAGAUAACUAUCUUUAAUUUUUUUUGUUUCUUUUCUGUCCUUACUACACCCGUACGUGUGUGAAUUAAUAAUUUUGCAUGUAGUUUACAUUGCAAGACCAAGUGAUCAGAGCUAGUCUUAUACCAAGGUAAGCCAAAUUUAGAGAAAUAAAUGGUUGAUUAAAAAAGAAUGAAACUCUGAUAUGUCAUUUGCAGUUUGCGCAAUGGCUAUUUUUUUGCCAAGAUUUUUUUUUAAAAAAUAUGUACAUUGGGAUUCAUUGAUUUGUUCGUUUUUAAAUUGUUUUAAAAAAAAAAUUCUGUUCAUAAAUAUAUGAUCCUUUUUUUUUUUGAAUCUAAAUAUAUGAUCCUUUUUACACCAAAAUGAUUUUAAGUUAUAAUUAUUUUAAUGGUUUGCAAAGUGAAGAACACAAGAGUUUUGUUUUAGAUUGAGUGUGAAUUUAAAUGCAAGGAUUUUAAGGGUUUGUUUUCGGAAUUUGGAACUCAUAUUUCAAUUGUUUUAAUUUUUCUCUCAUGGUAGAUGUUUUAGUUUAUGAAUCCUCUUGUAUUUAUACUAGUCUUUGCCGAAAAACUGAUUUGUGAGAAUGAAACUUAACAGCUAAUUAUGUUUUUUGUUAUUGGUUUUGCUUGGUUGUUUGUUUUUGUUUUCUUACUACACGAUGUGUGGGAAUUAAUAAAUUUUCAUGUAGUAACAAAUUUUGCAAGAUCAGAGCUAUUGUUAUAUAGAUAUAUAAGGUAUCAGCCAAAUUUUGAAAAAGUGCUUGAUUUUAUCAUAUUGUAUUGCUGAUAUUGUUCGAAGUAGUAAACUGCGUUUAAAAAAGGAAGGAUCUAAACCUACGUAUAAAUAUUCUUUGCCAUUUACAUUUCUUGUUUGUUUCGUCUGAUAAAUAUUUAUUUUAAAAGUGAAAUUUUGAAUUUGCUAACAUUGGUAUUUGGCAUUAGCAUUUUGCGCUAUGUCUAUAUUUUUCUGCCAAAAUUUUGUUUCUAUAAACAGUAGUUAUUAAUUAUGUCGAGUGUAAUUUUUUCUUCUCUUAAGGAUGUUGUAUAUAUGUCGAAGCCAUUUUUUUAACCGCAAACAGGCUGUUAAUAUCUUAGCGUUUGGUAAGUACGUAGGUUACUGAUUACUUUGAUGAAUACUAUCAGUCGAAAUGUAUUUGUAUAAUUAAAAAAAAAAUGUAUUUGUAUAAUUUCAUUUAUAAUAAUAUUCAAGAAAAUUUAGGAAAGUUCAAAAAAAUAUAUACGCAAUAUAUAGAUGAGUUUCAAAAAGAGUUACAAAAAGUAUUACACUAAAAUUCGUAAAAUAUAUUCAUGUUUAGCAAGUAAAUUGAAUUAAUAAUAAAUAGUGACAUCUCUAAUAUCUUCUUCGUCAACAAAACAAUCUCUUUAAUUGAAAUAAUUUCCGUUUUAUCUUUUGAUUUGGUGACAGCAGUUUAAAGACCUAUGCUACACGUUAUAUAUUUUUUUCCAACAAUAUCUUACGAACGAGUUAAAUUAUAUGAUUUUUCUAAGUAAAAAGAGAGAGCCGACCAAAAAAAAAAAAAUCAAACGGUAAAUGACAAAGUAACUACGGUUAAAAUAAAUAACCAACGCUCGAUAAUCCCGGAUAAUAGAAAAAAAAAAACAGAGACAGCUAGAAAAAAAACAGAGCUCCUUCGCGACGAGAAGUCGCCGCCGGAAUCGAGAGGCCAAGGCCGUAGUUUGAGAGUUUAAAGGAAAAUUACUCCCGACGUUGAUUAGUCUCCGGAGGAUACUUUGUGAUAUUUUGUUGAUUCAUGUAAGUAUCGAUCCCAUGCUUUGAGAAAUUCGAUAGACUUUGGAUUUAUUCUAAUUGGACUCCUAAAGCAUUCACGUUGUUUCUACUUUGUGAGAAUUCGAAUAUACUGUUGAAAAUUUUGCUUAUUUUGU